rnacentral:lncRNA from 1 species
CCUUGCUAACAGGCAUCACAAUCUAGUAACAGCCAUCUCCCAAGCUCACUUGGUCAGAGACUGCCAACAGCAAACCUGCUGAGCUGCUUCUCCUCUUCAAGAGGCUGCAGCCUCAGGACCCCAGGCAGAGAAAGUAUCUAUGAAAGAUUAAGAAGAUGGCUGAGUCCAUCCAGACACCACAGGCCAUGCUGCAGCAGCUGCAUGACUGUCACAGACACACCAGGGACAGUCUCCCCGGGAGUGACCACCAGUGACCUACCAAAAUCAAGAACAUCCUCAAGUGCCUUGUCCAGGAGAAGAGAAAUCCAUCCACCACAGAGCUGCAGGCUGCUGGAGAAAGCUGUAUUAUGCAAAUGGCCACAUUUUUCAGGCCAAAUGCUUCAGCAGGAAAGGAAUUUAUAUAUCCGAAAACCAAUUUCUCUGAACUUUGUCUCCAAGUUCCAUGUCCUCUGUCAAUGACAUCAUGCUACAGCCAGACCACAAACCAGGAACUUACAGUUCAUCCUUAAUCCUCCUCCCCCACCAACCCCCAAUCAAUCACCAC